CGGAAGCUCUCUGGCUUUAUACGUUCGUGGUUACCAGAAGAAAAUGAGCAGCUAGAGUUUUGUGAAUUUUUGGCUCUUUCUCUGACAUGUUUUUAUGGUAUUGGGACUAAGACUUGGUGGUCAAAUACAGCUUUUACAAAGAUUAGCUCCACAGCUUGUCCGAUAGGAUUGAUGCAUGCAAUAAUGGCCAUCAGAGCUGACUAUAUGAUUUUCCAUAUUGCAGCCAGCAGAGCAAUUCUAUUAAAGAGAUGGUUAAAGAAACCUUCAACCAAGUAGCAGAGCAAUUCUAUUAAAGAUGGUUAAAGAAACCUUGAACCAAGUAGCAGAGCAAUUAUAUUAAAGAGUUGGUUAAAGAAACCUUCAACCAAGUAGCAGAGCAAUUCUAUUAAAGAUGGUUAAAGAAACCUUCAACCAAGUAGCAGAGCAAUUCUAUUAAAGAUGGUUAAAGAAACCUUGAACCAAGUAGCAGAGUAAUUCUAUUAAAGAGAUGGUUAAAGAAACCUUCAACCAAGUAGCAGAGCAAUUCUAUAAAAGAUGGUUAAAGAAACCUUCAACCAAGUAGCAGAGCAAUUCUAUUAAAGAUGGUUAAAGAAACCUUCAACCAAGUAGCAGAGCAAUUCUAUUAAAGAUGGUUAAAGAAACCUUCAACCAAGUAGCAGAGCAAUUCUAUUAAAGAGAUGGUUAAAGAAACCUUCAACCAAGUAGCAGAGCAAUUCUAUUAAAGAUGGUUAAAGAAACCUUCAACCAAGUAGCAGAGCAAUUCUAUUAAAGAUGGUUAAAGAAACCUUCAACCAAGUAGCAGAGCAAUUCUAUUAAAGAUGGUUAAAGAAAGCUUGAACCAAGUAGCAGAGCAAUUCUAUUAAAGAGAUGGUUAAAGAAACCUUCAACCAAGUAGCAGAGCAAUUCUAUUAAAGAUGGUUAAAGAAACCUUGAACCAAGAAGCAGAGCAAUUCUAUUAAAGAGAUGGUUAAAGAAACCUUACACCCAGUAGCAGAGCAAUUCUAUUAAAGAUGGUUAAAGAAACCUUCAGUCAGAAAUAGGUCUGCAGCUUUACCUAGAAAAUAAAAAGGCAGGUUUAUUUAAGCCUUACAACUUCUAUACAUGUACCAGGUUCUUCCAGUGAGAUGUUUUCAUGGUGUUGGCAAUAAACUUGGUAGUCUUAUACAACUAAUACAAAGGAUAGCAUCGAUCACAGCAUGUACAUUAGAAUUGAGGCUGGGUAUGGCCAUUGGAGCUGACCUUUAUUGUAACAUCUACUGUGGCUGCAUAAAACACAAUGUAAUUUAGACAAUUUUUGUGUAUUCACAACAAUAACAGAUUUCAUCGGCAACUGGACCUAUAGCUGGAACAGGAUCAAUGAAGCCAAAAGGAUUCCACCGGUAGUAGCUAGCACUAAACAGGAAAUAAUUCCAAAAUUUAGAAUCGAAGCAGCACCAUCUAAAUACCCAGCCUCAACUACAGUUAACACACAAAAGACACCAGAAAAAUCAACCAUAGAUAUAUUGACAGAGAAUACUUGCACGUCAGCAAUCCUGAAGAUUAAGAUGACGAUGUAAUAUGUGUUAAAACCACAGGAUCGCAGAAAUACAGUACAAACACUAUGGCUAUUUAGUGGAAGAAGAACAAAAAUACCAGACUUUUUUAAAGCUUUAGUUUUUACAAUAGACAUUUUCACAUUUUGUAUUUUAUGCAUAUAAUGUUUUUUAUUUUAUUACACAUGUUAUUGUACAUAUGUUUAUUUCAUAUAUUUUUUCAAUUCGUUCCUUUAUUUGUAAGUAAACAAACUAGCAUCUCUUCUUUUGGUUUAAUUUAAUUUUUAAAUUAUUCCACAUUUUCAUAUUUAUACAGGGUAAAAUUUCAAAAAUAUAAGAGAAUACACUAUUGAUACAUUGAUAUUAAAUAGUACAUUGUAUAUGUUUGAUAAAGGUGUACUGCUGGAAAAUAAUUUAUGAUAUAAAUUAAAUAUGAUGUCUAUCAUGUUUGACAGGCUGUCAGCAAAUUUA